rnacentral:rRNA from 1 species
GCCCCGGUAAACGGCGGCCGUAACUAUAACGGUCCUAAGGUAGCGAAAUUCCUUGUCGGGUAAGUUCCGACCUGCACGAAUGGCGUAAUGAUGGCCAGGCUGUCUCCACCCGAGACUCAGUGAAAUUGAACUCGCUGUGAAGAUGCAGUGUACCCGCGGCAAGACGGAAAGACCCCGUGAACCUUUACUAUAGCUUGACACUGAACAUUGAGCCUUGAUGUGUAGGAUAGGUGGGAGGCUUUGAAGUGUGGACGCCAGUCUGCAUGGAGCCGACCUUGAAAUACCACCCUUUAAUGUUUGAUGUUCUAACGUUGGCCCGUAAUCCGGGUUGCGGACAGUGUCUGGUGGGUAGUUUGACUGGGGCGGUCUCCUCCUAAAGAGUAACGGAGGAGCACGAAGGUUGGCUAAUCCUGGUCGGACAUCAGGAGGUUAGUGCAAUGGCAUAAGCCAGCUUGACUGCGAGCGUGACGGCGCGAGCAGGUGCGAAAGCAGGUCAUAGUGAUCCGGUGGUUCUGAAUGGAAGGGCCAUCGCUCAACGGAUAAAAGGUACUCCGGGGAUAACAGGCUGAUACCGCCCAAGAGUUCAUAUCGACGGCGGUGUUUGGCACCUCGAUGUCGGCUCAUCACAUCCUGGGGCUGAAGUAGGUCCCAAGGGUAUGGCUGUUCGCCAUUUAAAGUGGUACGCGAGCUGGGUUUAGAACGUCGUGAGACAGUUCGGUCCCUAUCUGCCGUGGGCGCUGGAGAACUGAGGGGGGCUGCUCCUAGUACGAGAGGACCGGAGUGGACGCAUCACUGGUGUUCGGGUUGUCAUGCCAAUGGCACUGCCCGGUAGCUAAAUGCGGAAGAGAUAAGUGCUGAAAGCAUCUAAGCACGAAACUUGCCCCGAGAUGAGUUCUCCCUGAGACUUAG